UAACUGGUAGGCGAUAGACUACUUUCACUCAGAUAACUGGUAGGCGAUAGACUACUUUCACUCAGAUAACUGGUAGGCGAUAGACUACUUUCACUCAGAUAACUGGUAGGCGAUAGACUACUUUCACUCAGAUAACUGGUAGGCGAUAGACUACUUUCACUCAGAUAACUGGUAGGCGAUAGACUACUUUCACUCAGAUAACUGGUAGGCGAUAGACUACUUUCACUCAGAUAACUGGUAGGCGAUAGACUACUUUCACUCAGAUAACUGGUAGGCGAUAGACUACUUUCACUCAGAUAACUGGUAGGCGAUAGACUACUUUCACUCAGAUAACUGGUAGGCGAUAGACUACUUUCACUCAGAUAACUGGUAGGCGAUAGACUACUUUCACUCAGAUAACUGGUAGGCGAUAGACUACUUUCACUCAGAUAACUGGUAGGCGAUAGACUACUUUCACUCAG